rnacentral:rRNA from 1 species
AUUGAACGCUGGCGGCAGGCCUAACACAUGCAAGUCGAGCGGAUGACGGGAGCUUGCUCCUUGAUUCAGCGGCGGACGGGUGAGUAAUGCCUAGGAAUCUGCCUGGUAGUGGGGGACAACGCUUCGAAAGGAGCGCUAAUACCGCAUACGUCCUACGGGAGAAAGCAGGGGACCUUCGGGCCUUGCGCUAUCAGAUGAGCCUACGUCGGAUUAGCUAGUUGGUGGGGUAAUGGCUCACCAAGGCGACGAUCCGUAACUGGUCUGAGAAGAUGGUCAGUCAGACGGGAACGGCGACACGGUCCCGACUCCUACGGGAGGAAGCAGUGGGGAAUAUUGGACAAUGGGCGAAAGCCUGAUCCAGCCAUGCCGCGUGUGUGAAGAAGGUCGUCGGAUUGUAAAGCACUUUAAGUUGGGAGGAAGGGCAGUAAGUUAACACUUUGCUGUUUUGACGUUACCGACAGAAUAAGCACCGGCUAACUCUGUGCCAGCCGCCGCAGUAACAC